rnacentral:rRNA from 1 species
GAUGAACGCUAGCGGCAGGCCUAACACAUGCAAGUCAAGGGGUAGCAGGAUUAAGCUUGCUUAAUUGCUGACGACCGGCGCACGGGUGCGUAACGCGUAUGCAACCUACCUUAUACUGGGGUAUAGCCCGGAGAAAUUCGGAUUAAUCCCCCAUAGUACUAAUGAAUCGCAUGGUUUAUUAGUUAAAGCAUUGCGGUAUAAGAUGGGCAUGCGUCCUAUUAGCUAGAUGGUGAGGUAACGGCUCACCAUGGCUACGAUAGGUAGGGGGCCUGAGAGGGUGGUCCCCCACACUGGUACUGAGACACGGACCAGACUCCUACGGGAGGCAGCAGUGAGGAAUAUUGGUCAAUGGGCGCAAGCCUGAACCAGCCAUGCCGCGUGCAGGAAGAAUGCCCUAUGGGUUGUAAACUGCUUUUAUUUGGGAAUAAACCUCUUUACGUGUAGAGAGCUGAAGGUACCAAAUGAAUAAGCACCGACUAACUCCGUGCCAGCAGCCGCGGUAA